GAGCCGGCGGCCUCUGGAUCCCCGAGUCUCGGCUCUUCCACUCUAGCUGUGUGACCGUGGGCACGGUGCCCGUUCCUCACCGCUCCAUCUGCAACCGGAAGAUGAUGACUUCUUAGUGUUGUGGACUAGCAUGUGAGCAAGGACGCAUUAACCCACAUCCACCUGUAAAUCCUCAUCCUGAACUGUACCCUUAGCCUACAAGGACUUUGCUGGGUGCUUCCUCCCGCCACUUCUAGGAAGCCUUUCCUGAUCACCAGAAGGAGAAAAAGGCUGGCUAGGGCCCCACAAUGCCACCACAUAUCCCUUUGCUCCCCUUGUCUGAGGUAAUCUCCAGCUUCUUGACCUCAAGAGACCAUUUCCUGAUGCAGCCCAGCAGCUGGUGCAGCCAGGCCUGUGUGUCUCUGCACCUGGCUGAUGAGUCUACACCCCUAACCACUAUGGAAAGCAGUCUGGCAAUUCCUCAGAAUAUUGAGAAUAGAGCUAACAUAUGACCCAGCAAUCCCUCUCCUGGGCAUGUACCCGAAAACAUAUAUUCACAAAGAUAUAUGCACCCCUAUGUUCAUUGCAGCAUUGCUCACGGUGACCAAGACAUGGAAACAACCAAAGUGUCCUGUGAUAGAGGACUGGAUAAGGAAGGUGUGGUUCAUGUAAUCAAUGGAAUUCUACUCAGCCAUUAGAAAGGAUUAAAUAGCGCCAUUUGUAACAACAUGGAUGGACCUUAAGAACAAACACUAUGCUAAGUGAAAUAAAGCUUCCUGAUCACGUACUCCACCCACCUGCAGCAUAACAAGGAAGGCUCGAAGACAGGAUGGAUUGUCUUGUGGUGCCUUGAAGAAAGACGCAUGCAUCUUAGCUAACUACAGCAUUUUGAGCUCAUUACCCUUGCCUGUGUAUGAAAUGCGAUGGAAUUAAGGUACAAAAAAGGUCAGAUAUCAUGGGAACUGACCUUUGGUGCUUUUGAAACUGAGAAAAAAAGAUUUGUUGUGCCAAGCUUCCUCAUCAGUCUGGUAUUUCACCUCUCAUUUUAAACAAGGUAAACAAACCACCGUGGACAUAUUUUUCUUCCCCGCAGAACUGCACCCUUUUUCAUGAUUAGGUCUGGGUGCUGUUUGGCAAUGGGAAUUGAGUAGAAUGGAGGUGGGGAGGCAUUUUUUCAUCCCACCCUCUUCUCAAAUAUUUAAAGUAGAAUAACGAGUAGGUGAGUGAUGAUCACUGUCACAACCCUUUUCCACUCCUGCCACCUGAAUACUGACCUCAGUCACCCUUUUCUUCGGCCACCACAGGUGGCAUUUCCUGAUGCACCCUGUCAAGACUGGAGGUGCUGAGACCUCUGGGAGAGAGUCUGAGGAAGAUGGGAUGGUCUUCAUUCUGUCGUCUUUACAGUCCGGUUUUUUAAUGAGAUCUGUAAGCUUUGCAUGAAAUGGAAAUUCUGGGAGGACAGAAGAGGUUUUGAGGGACCUAUAGGGGAAGAGUGAUGGCAGGAACCUGCAUGGGAAUUUUGUGUGUUGGGGGUCCAUGUGAACAGUCUUCCUUAUUUUCCCAGGAGAUCCUUAGUAAAAUAAAUACUCAUUUCUUGUUGGUACAUUAUCGAGUUGAAUCUGUUUGUUGAGGGAAUUCAUUUAUUCAUUCAACAGCUAGUCAUUGAGAACCUGAACCUGCCUGCAGUAUUCUAGAUGCUGAGGAUAAAGUAGUGAGUAAAACAUACCCAACAAGGGAACAGAUUGGAUGAAUCUUCAAGGAAUUCUGCUGUGUGUGAGAACAGCUAAAUCCCCAAAGGUUAAUAUUGUGUGAUUCUAUUUUUCCAUUUACAUAACAUUUUCAAAUGAUAAACUUUUAGAAAUAAUGGUUACCAGGGGUGAGAUAUGGGAGGUGGUGGUAAGAGAGAGAUAGGUGUGGUGAUAGAAAAGCAACCUGAGACAUCCUUGUGUCAAUGUACUAUUCAAUAUCUUGACUGUAGUGUUGGAUGCAGGAACUUACACAUGUGAUAAAAUUGUAUAGAACUACACUCACACGCCCCACCCUACCACCACCCCCAGGUAAAACUGGGAAAAUCCAAAUAAUAUCUGUGGAUUGGCCUAUGUCAAUAGUCUGGUUGUGAUAUUGUACUAAAAUGUUACCAUUGGGGGAAACAUUCAAGUUCAUGUAGAAUCUCCCAUUAUCAUUUCUUCAAACUGCACACGAAUCAAUAAUUAUUCCAAUAAAAGUUUAAAUUUAAAAAAUGUCCCUUACCUGAUGGUGCCAACAUUUGAGUAGAAACUAAGUAUGGCUUCAGGGUAGCUGCAGGGCAAAAGCCAAGACCAUCUGCCUGCCUCCCCCUUUGGCAUAUUUAUGCACUGUCAGGGAGAUUCCAUCCCAUCCUUGCAACAUGUCACGAAUCCCCUCUGGUGACUGAAUGAAAUCUAGACUCAGGAGUAGGCAGAUGCAAUACUAAGGGUGGAAUGCCAGGCCUCCCUGACUCUCUGCCAUAGGUAUCUGGGAACUAUCAGGCCUGCCUUUGGUUCUCUAAACCAGGUACCAGACAUGGCCCUGGACUCCCAGGACUCACAUGGGACCGUGCUUGGCUUGCUCAUACUUUUCUACAUCCCCACCACACUCCUUCCACCUCUGCCCCAAAUGCUUGGUCUGUCCUAACAGCACAUUCACCUUGGAGAACCUUCUUUCCUGUACACACGGGUGUGGCUUGCUGCCCUGGUUCUCAGCAUCGGGCAAGUGCUCCUCAAGCCAGCCCUGGCCUGGGACUCAGUCCUGGAUCUUGGCCCCUUAGCUAUGGCCAGUCGGGUCAGUGUCCAGACCCUUAACCACCUCCUGUAAAAGGCGAUUCCCACACCCAUUUGUUGAAGCUUUGGCUGUACAAUGAGCCAGCAAGCUUGCUACCAACCAUCUAGCCCUGCCACUGUAUUUUAUUGCCUUAGAAGAACUUCAGAGGAAAGAAGCCAUGUAAAAAUAAAAUAAGGUCUGAAGAGACUUUAAAGUUUUUAUUAUUUUAUAUUAUGCCAUGCCUUGCAUGGAAUGACAACAAAGCAACAUGCCUUCCUGGCAACAUAAUUUACUAUCUGGGCAUGGUGAGAAGGCUAGAACUCCCAGGCGUACAAUCUAGUUCACUGGAAAGAACAGAGGGAGGUAAGGGAGAGAAGGGGAUGGACUAAGAAGAUAAAUGUUUAUCUCUUCUCUGUCAUUCUA